AGAAACCAACAGGGAUUGCCUCAGUAACGGCGAGUGAAGCGGCAACAGCUCAAAUUUGAAAUCUGGCCCUCGGGUCCGAGUUGUAAUUUGUAGAGGAUGCUUUUGGCGCGGUGCCUUCCGAGUUCCCUGGAACGGGACGCCUUAGAGGGUGAGAGCCCCGUACGGUUGGACACCAAGCCUCUGUAAAGCUCCUUCGACGAGUCGAGUAGUUUGGGAAUGCUGCUCUAAAUGGGAGGUAAAUUUCUUCUAAAGCUAAAUAUUGGCCAGAGACCGAUAGCGCACAAGUAGAGUGAUCGAAAGAUGAAAAGCACUUUGAAAAGAGGGUUAAAUAGCACGUGAAAUUGUUGAAAGGGAAGCGUUUGCGACCAGACCUUUUCCUGGCGGAUCAUCCGGUGUUCUCACCGGUGCACUUCGCCAGGUCGAGGCCAGCAUCGGUUUCCGCGGGGGGAUAAAAGCUCUGGGAACGUAGCUCCUCCGGGAGUGUUAUAGCCCUCUGCACAAUACCCCCGCGGGGACCGAGGACCGCGCUCUAAGCAAGGAUGCUGGCGUAAUGGUUGUCAACGACCCGUCUUGAAACACGGACCAAGGAGUCGAACAUUUGUGCGAGUGUUUGGGUGUCAAACCCUCACGCGUAAUGAAGGUGAACGUAGGUGAGAGCCCUUACGGGUGCAUCAUCGACCGAUCCUGAUGUCUUCGGAUGGAUUUGAGUAAGAGCAUAACUGUUCGGACCCGAAAGAUGGUGAACUAUGCGUGGAUAGGGUGAAGCCAGAGGAAACUCUGGUGGAGGCUCGCAGCGGUUCUGACGUGCAAAUCGAUCGUCAAAUCUGCGCAUGGGGGCGAAAGACUUAUCGAACCAUCUAGUA
rnacentral:rRNA from 1 species